AAAGAACGCUGGCGGCAGGCCUAACACAUGCAAGUCGAGCGCUGUAGCAAUACAGAGCGGCGCACGGGUGAGUAAUACGUGGGAACGUGCCCUUUGGUUCGGAAUAACUCAGGGAAACUUGAGCUAAUACCGGAUGAGCCCUAUGGGGGAAAGAUUUAUCGCCGAAGGAGCGGCCCACGUCGGAUUAGCUAGUUGGUAGGGUAAAAGCCUACCAAGGCGACGAUCCGUAGCUGGUUUGAGAGAACGACCAGCCACACUGGGACUGAGACACGGCCCAGACUCCUACGGGAGGCAGCAGUGGGGAAUCUUGGACAAUGGGGGAAACCCUGAUCCAGCCAUGCCGCGUGAGUGAUGAAGGCCCUAGGGUUGUAAAACUCUUUCGGCGGGGACGAUAAUGACGGUACCCGCAGAAGAAGCUCCGGCUAACUUCGUGCCAGCAGCCGCAGUAAAAC
rnacentral:rRNA from 1 species